GACGAACGCUGGCGGCGUGCCUAAUACAUGCAAGUUGAGCGCUGAAGGUUGGUACUUGUACCAACUGGAUGAGCAGCGAACGGGUGAGUAACGCGUGGGGAAUCUGCCUUUGAGCAGGGGACAACAUUUGGAAACGAAUGCUAAUACCGCAUAAAAACUUUAAACACAAGUUUUAAGUUUGAAAGAUGCAAUUGCAUCACUCAAAGAUGAUCCCGCGUUGUAUUAGCUAGUUGGUGAGGUAAAGGCUCACCAAGGCGAUGGUACAUAGCCGACCUGAGAGGGUGAUCGGCCACAUUGGGACUGAGACACGGCCCAAACUCCUACGGGAGGCAGCAGUAGGGAAUCUUCGGCAAUGGACGAAAGUCUGACCGAGCAACGCCGCGUGAGUGAAGAAGGUUUUCGGAUCGUAAAACUCUGUUGGUAGAGAAGAACGUUGGUGAGAGUGGAAAGCUCACCAAGUGACGGUAACUACCCAGAAAGGGACGGCUAACUACGUG
rnacentral:rRNA from 1 species